rnacentral:rRNA from 1 species
ANACGCNGGCGGCAUGCCUAAGACAUGCAAGUCGAACGGAGNUUUCACUCCUGCGGCGGACUUCGGUCCAAAGCUUUGUGAAACUUAGUGGCGAACGGGUGAGUAACAGGUAGACAACUUGCCUCAACGACUGGGAUAACACUGGGAAACUGGUGCUAAUACCGGAUAGGAUAUAGAUUCGCAUGAAUUUAUAUUUAAAGAUGGGUUAAACCAUCACGAUGAGAGAGGUCUGCUUCGUAUUAGCUAGUUGGUAGGGUAAUGGCCUACCAAGGCAAUGAUGCGUAGCCGAGCUGAGAGGCUGAUCGGCCACACUGGAACUGAGACACGGUCCAGACUCCUACGGGAGGCAGCAGUUAGGGAUAUUCGGCAAUGGACGAAAGUCUGACCGAGCAAUGCCGCGUGAAUGAAGAAGUAUUUCGAUAUGUAAAGUUCUGUUGUAAGGGAAGAAUGGUUGUGAUAGGAAAUGAUCACAAUUUGACGGUACCUUACCAGAAAGCCCCGGCUAACUACGUGCCAGCAGCCGCGGUAAUACGUAGGGGGCGAGCGUUAUCCGGAAUUAUUGGGCGUAAAGGGUGCGUAGGCGGCCUUAUAAGUCUGAGUUGAAAGCCCACGGCUUAACCGUGGAGGGUGCUCGGAAACUGUAAGGCUUGAAUCCAGAAGAGGCAAGUAGAAUUCUAUGUGGAGCGGUGGAAUGCGUAGAUAUAUGGAGGAAUACCAGUGGCGAAGGCGGCUUGCUGGUCUGGGGAUUGACGCUGAGGCACGAAAGCGUGGGGAGCAAACAG